GAUGAACGCUGACAGAAUGCUUAACACAUGCAAGUCAACUUUGGUCGACGGGUGAGUAACGCGUAAAGAACUUGCCUCACAGCUAGGGACAACAUUUGGAAACGAAUGCUAAUACCUGAUACUGUGAGAGAGCUUUGCGGACCAUUAGCUAGUUGGAGAGGUAACGGCGCACCAAGGCGAUGAUGGGUAGCCGGCCUGAGAGGGUGAUCGGGCACAAGGGGACGGAGACGCGGGCCUUACUGCUUCGGGCGGCAGCAGUGUGGAAUAUUGAACAAUGGGCCGCAGUCUGAUCAAGGAAUUCUGUGUGUACAAUGAAGUUGUCGGAAUGUAAAGUGCGUGCAGUUGGGACGCGGUACCCGCAGAAGAAGUGACGGCUAAAUACGUGCCAGCAGCCGCGGUAAUUC
rnacentral:rRNA from 1 species